rnacentral:rRNA from 1 species
GACGAACGCUGGCGGCGUGCUUAACACAUGCAAGUCGAACGGAAAGGCCCUGCUUUUGUGGGGUGCUCGAGUGGCGAACGGGUGAGUAACACGUGAGUAACCUGCCCUUGACUUUGGGAUAACUUCAGGAAACUGGGGCUAAUACCGGAUAGGAGCUCCUGCUGCAUGGUGGGGGUUGGAAAGUUUCGGCGGUUGGGGAUGGACUCGCGGCUUAUCAGCUUGUUGGUGGGGUAGUGGCUUACCAAGGCUUUGACGGGUAGCCGGCCUGAGAGGGUGACCGGCCACCUUGGGACUGAGAUACGGACCAGACUGCUACGGGAGGCAGCAGUGGGGAAUAUUGCGCAAUGGGCGGAAGCCUGAUGCAGCAACGCCGCGUGCGGGAUGACGUCCUUCGGGUUGUAAACCGCUUUCGCCUGUGACGAAGCGUGAGUGACGGUAAUGGGUAAAGAAGCACCGGCUAACUACGUG